GAGCGGUAGCGCGAGAAACUUGGCUCUCGUGGACGAGAGUGGGGCGCGUGAGUGAAGUAUAUCGGUCUGUGCGAGUAGGGGGAGAUCACUUGGAAACGGAGUCUAAUACCGUCAUUCUCUUACGAGCAAAGAGGGGGAAAUUCGGUCAUUGCUCACUAUUGAUAAACCCAGAUGGGAUAAGCUAUAGUUUGGGGUAAUGGCUCAUCCAGGGGACCAUUCCUAUCUGGUUUGAAAGGAUGAUCCGCCUCAACGGGACUGAAACCAGGCCCAAACUUCUACCGGAGGGCGCCGUGGGGAAAUUUGGACAAUGGGCGCAAACCCUGUGCCACCAUGCCGCGGUGAUUAAGAAGGCCCUUCGGUUGUAAAGUACUUUUUGUCGGGAGGAAGGCGUUGUCGCCUAUUUCAUCAUCGUGUGACGGUACCGACAGAAAUAGCACCGGCUAACUCCGUGCCCACAGCCGCGCGUAAUUCGGAGGGUGCAAGCGUUAAUCGGAAUUUCUGGGCGUAAAGCGCACGCAGGCGCGUUGAUUAUAAGAGAUGUGUGAUCCCCGGGGCUCACCUGGGAAUGGCAUCUUUUUCUCUGCCAGCUAGAGUCUUGUAGAGGGGGGGUAGUAAUUCCAUGUGUAGCGGUGAAAUGCGCUAGAGAUGUGGGAGAGAUUUCCGGUGGCGCAAAGCGCGGCCCCCUGGGCAUAGACUGACGCUCUCGGUGCGAUAUGCGCUGUGGGAGCGAAAAGGAUUUGAUUCCCCGGGAUGUCCCCACCCGUAUACCAUGUCCAUUCUGGAUGUUGGUGCCCUUGUAGGACUGGCUUGCGGAGCUACGCGUGAUAUUCGACCGCCUGGGGGAGUACGUCCGCAAGAUAAUACUCAAUGAUUGACGGGGACCCGCACUAUGCGUGGAUGAUGUGGAUUUAUUCGAUGCACGCGAUAUACUACUACCCUGACAUGCCAGAAUUCGCAGAGAUUGCGUCGUGCCUCAGAAUCGGAACAGUGCGCCCAUGCUUGCGCCAGCUCGUCGUA
rnacentral:rRNA from 1 species